UGGGGAAUUUUGCACAAUGGGGGAAACCCUGAUGCAGCGACGCCGCGUGAUUUAGAAGGCCUUCGGGUUGUAAAAAUCUUUUCUAUGGGAAGAAAAUGACAGUACCAUAGGAAUAAGGACCGGCUAAUUACGUGCCAGCAGCCGCGGUAAUACGUAAGGUCCGAGCGUUGUCCGGAAUCAUUGGGCGUAAAGGGUACGUAGGCGGGUAAGCGAGUUAGAAGUGAAAUCCUAUAGCUCAACUAUAGUAAGCUUUUAAAACUGCUCAUCUUGAGGUAUGGAAGGGAAAGUGGAAUUCCUAGUGUAGCGGUGAAAUGCGCAGAUAUUAGGAGGAAUACCGGUGGCGAAGGCGACUUUCUGGCCAUAACCUGACGCUGAGGUACGAAAGCGUGGGUAGCAAACAGG
rnacentral:rRNA from 1 species